rnacentral:rRNA from 1 species
CCUACGGGUGGCAGCAGUCGAGAAUCAUUCACAAUGGGGGAAACCCUGAUGGUGCGACGCCGCGUGGGGGAAUGAAGGUCUUCGGAUUGUAAACCCCUGUCAUGUGGGAGCAAAUUAAAAAGAUAGUACCACAAGAGGAAGAGACGGCUAACUCUGUGCCAGCAGCCGCGGUAAUACAGAGGUCUCAAGCGUUGUUCGGAAUCACUGGGCGUAAAGCGUGCGUAGGCUGUUUCGUAAGUCGUGUGUGAAAGGCGCGGGCUCAACCCGCGGACGGCACAUGAUACUGCGAGACUAGAGUAAUGGAGGGGGAACCGGAAGUCGCGGUGUAGCAGUGAAAUGCGUAGAUAUCGAGAGGAACACUCGUGGCGAAGGCGGGUUCCUGGACAUUAACUGACGCUGAGGCACGAAGGCCAGGGGAGCGAAAAGGAUUAGAUACCCUUGUAGUC